UUUGUUUUGUAUAUCAAGAGCCUGCUUUUUAAGUAAAUUCAGUGGGCUUAAAAUAGCAGAAUUCAAAUGGCUUUACAGUAUUACAAAUAUAAAACUGAUAUUUCUUUCUGCGGUCGACUGGCAAUGUGCAGCAACAUGUGGGGGAGGGCCAGUCCUAAACUAACUUAUGCUUCAAAUAGUCAGAGAAAACUCAGGUCUUUUUACUUUUCUGUUGUACUUUAACUUUUAAAUGUUUUCUGUUUUCCCCAAUGUAUUUUGGGACUCGGUGUUCCGUCUCUUUUUUUUUCUUUUUUUUUUUUUUGAGGUAGAAGAAAAAAAACAAAACCCACUAGGGGCUUCGCUGCCUCUACCCUCCCCUCUUGUCUUUCUCUCUCUGGCCUUCUGACAACACAGUGGAGCCUCCGACGGGAGCAGCGACUCAACUUCAGUACGUUCAUCCAGUGCCAGGCAUUCGCUCCGACUUACCGCCUGCCAGUCCCCUUCUCUCCAGCGGUAGCGAGCGGGACAGUCUGCGACGCGGCAGCUCUGGCUGGACGGCGGACGAGAGCGCUGGGCACAGCCGGUCUCCGCGGGGCUACGGCGGUCUCCAACCUGACAGAAAACCUCCCUCCGCUGAACUCCGUCACCGCAUGAGGCUGAACACUGAAAGCAGGAGAGAUACUUAUAUCUGUGGAGUCGCCAGCUCGGCUGGAGACUGCAGCACCAAGGAGGAGCUUGUGGAAAUAGGCGGGGAUUGGUGAGAGCAAGCGUUUAGGCACCCCUGAAUGGCUGCCAUAAGAUAUUCAAGGUUUUCUAAAACAUGUAUGAAAGAAUCAAAAGCAACACUCUUUUAUGGCAUGAUGUAUAGCACAAAAAGUCAAUUUUACAUAAUACCCCACUGUAAAAUUUCAAACGUCAAUGUAUUUUAUUUAAAUUUUAUAUGUUUUUGUUUUCUUUUUACAAAAUACCUGAAAAGUUUGCUGUUCCUUUGUUUUCACUCCCCUUCAUUCAGUGUGUAGAACCAGUUUUUGCUGGAAUUAGGUGUGUCUGUAAACAUCAAUAUUCAGGUAUUUCCACAUAUUCUUAGUUGGGAUUCUGGUACUGGAAAAUGCUUUGAACUAAACUAUUCCAUGGUAGUUCUGGUUGUGUGCUCAGGGUUGACGCUCUACUGGGGGACAAACCUUUAAACUAACUACUUUAAAGUCUUUUGAAGCUUCCGACAGGUUUUCACUCAAUAUUUUAACAUAAGUAGCUCCAUCUAUCCUCACAUCAAUCCUAACUAGUUUCACAAAUUCCUACUGAUUCUAGACGAAGCUCUGUGAAAUGUUCAAAAUUUGGAUAUUGUUUUGUAAGGUUAAAUUGCUUUAAACCUCCUUACAGCUCCCCAAUCUCCCUCCCUCUGACCUGCAUGCUGUGUUCCCCCCAGUCUCCAUGAGGCUCUUCUCUAGUCUUCCCUAACAAACCUCCGGGUCCUCGUCUCAGAGAAUUGGAUUAAAUUACACACGGAUGGGCAAAAUUUCAACAUAAGUUGAAUGAUUUACUUGUUACAAUGUUUUACUUUAUUUUAAAUUUAGGGUUAAACAGCGAGGGGGUUGAAUGUUUC